ensembl:lncRNA
CAGUCUAAGUUUACAACCCAAGACCUCCAACUUCACGUAAGAUGCAAAUUUAUAUUUCAAUCUUGACUUUGUCUCCAAAAAUUUAGGUAAUCUAAGUAAUCCAAAACAAUAAUAAUAAUAAUAAUAAUAAUAAUAAUAAUAAUAAUAAUAAUAAUUAUUAUUAUUAUUAUUAUUAUUAUUAUUAUUAUUAUUAUUAGCCUUUAAAUGUUCAUGAAUUAUGUUUCAAUAUGAACUCAAGUCCUAAAAAAUAUAUUUUGUUUGUUCUGCAGGAGCACUUCAAACCAGAUUGAUGGCAGGAUGGAAUACAGCUUCCAGGAUGGAGAUGUCAUACAACCAGUCAGCUUCCUCAAUGAGCUACGUCUACCAACCACUACAACAGUGUUUCCGGAAGCAACAACCAGUGUUUCUGUUACUACUCCCAAUCUCAUGUAAAUUUGGGUUUUCUGUUUUGAGAAAAAUCAAUAAUUGAGAAGUCAUGAUUUUGUUGCAAACAUUUGAUGAAAAUUAAACAAAAGUGGUUAUAUUUACAGAUCUGGUUCAGCAGUGGUCACAAGCAAGCUGGUGUUCAACUCCUCAUCUCCAGUCCCCAGUGAAUCUCUGGUCCUCAAUGCAAUCAAAACUCUGCGUAAUUCCAGAGAGUCACAGCUCAAUGAAUCGGUGAAGGUGGUGAAUGUCACCUAUGAGAAAAUCUCAGAAACCUCCUAUGCUGUGGUCUUUACAUUUAACGUCAUUAACAUCAGUAUGCCAGAGGACCCUAAGUCUAGAGGCAACACCAACCAACAAUUGCAGGAUACCAUCAAUAAUGCGGUAAACUUAAAAUAAUGAACAGUGUAAAAAGGCUUAGGUUCAAUGCCAGUUUUCACGAGAAACUGAUGAAUGGUUUGAUUUAUCUCGUGCAGCUGAACACUCUUCUGAACGAACCUGGCAGUCCAAAUUUACAACCCAAGUCAUCAAACUUCAAGAAUACAUUAAAUCAGAUUGAGGGCAGUAUGGCGUACAUCUUCCAAGAUACAGGUGCCAUAAAACCAGUCAGCUUCUUACAGGCACUUAAUUCAUUGACAGUCUUAACGACAGCCAGCACUCUGACAACAAGCGCAACUUCUCCACCAACAUUGUUGGGGAAGGUUUAUAUAAAUAUUCGAUUGGUAUUUAACACAUUGGGCCAAAUACCAAGUGAAACUAUCAUUCUACAGUUGGCCAAAUCUUUGAUUGGCCCACGUUACAGAACUAAAGAUGUCUCAACACCAACCCAAGAUGCGAGCCUUAUGAAUGUCACCUAUACAAGAAUUAAUGAUACCUCCUAUGCGCUCACAUUUGGAUUUGAAAUCAGCAAUAUAUCCAUAGCUGAGAAAAUUGAACUAAGGAAUGAAACUUACACUUCAAUCAAAAGCACUAUAAAUGAAUUGCUUAUCGAAAUCCUAAAGGACCCCUCAGCUUCUCAGUUUGAUCUCCAUCAUGUUGAAUUCAAGGAUAAUAGCACAGUAAUUCUGGCCAGUGUUCAGUAUGUUUUCUCAGAAAGUGACUUGAACACAAACAGCACCUUUGUCCAGAAAAUAUUCAAAGCUAAUGAAGUCUUGACGACAGCCAGCACUCUGACAACAACUUCUCCACCAAACUUGCUUGGGAAAGUGAUCAUAUACAUCAGGCUUGUGUUUAGAACGCGGGGUACUAUACCAAGUCAGAGUAACGUUAUACAUGUAGCUAACACUCUGUUGAAUGGAAUGAAACUGAGAACUAAACGAGCCCUUACAACAAAAGAUCUGACUGAACUUGUGAGCUUUGUGAAUGUCACCUAUACAAAAAUUGAUGAUACCUCCUUCUCUCUUAACUUUGGAUUUGAAAUCAGCAAUGUGUCCAUCUCAGAGAAACUUGAAUUCAGGAAUGAGACCUACAAAGUGAUCCAGAACUAUAUUAAUUCAUUUGUAUCCACAAUACUAAAUAAAACAACAACUACUGACUUUAAUUUCAAUCAAAUCAUUUUCAAGGGUAAUUCCACUGUGAUUGAGGCCAGCGUAGAGUAUGUCUUCACAGACACUGACAUCGGCAGUUUCGGCUUGGUCACAACUUUGCUCGGACUUACUACAACAGCCGCUCCAACCACCUUUUACCCCACAAUUCUGCACACUACAAUCUCAAACAACAGUACUAAUGCAGCAUGGAUUGUGGCUAUCAUUGUCCCCUGUGCUAUUGUCAUCGGGCUCGUACCUUGCUGGAUUCUUCUUUGUUGUUUGCUGUGUGGUUGCUGUGCAGCAAUCAGAAGACGUUGGCACAGAAGACGGUCAUACAAUGUGCAGUACACCACUCGAAACAGUCUCUUCUAGAGAUAUUCAAAAACAAACUUUGACACAUAAAAGUUUAUUAAUUUUCCUGUAUUGCUGGGCAUACCUGACCUCUCCAAAUGUGAUGCAACUUUGAUUAAAAAAAAAGACUAUUUAUGGAAUGAUUUUAUUUAUUUGUAAAUUCUGUUAUGUAAAGUAAUGAUGAUCUUGCUUUCUAAAUGAAAGAUUUAUUUGGUAGUAUGUAUCUAAUGUUAAGGGAAAAAUGUAGAAUGUGUUUAUUCACACUUCAUGUACUUUAUCUUUAUCUAAAAUAAUAUAUUGCACCCUGAUGACAUAUUUAUGUGCCAUUCCACAAUUAAUGUUUUAAGACUGUGUAGUUAAAAACUAAUUUAAUAAAAAACAAUUCAAUAUCAAUAUGAGAACAUUAUUGUAUCCAUCAUUUUUGAUAUAUACUACAGUAUACAGAGCUUUUACGCUUUAAUAUGUUUGAAGAUUCAUUUUCACCGAUCCAUGCUGUCUGAUAAAUGAUCUACCAAAGACAGAAUGGUUAUGAUGAUUGGUUAGUGU